UACGUAGGGGGGCAAGCGUUGUCCGGAAUCAUUGGGCGUAAAGCGCGUGUAGGCGGCCCGGUAAGUCCGCUGUGAAAGUCGGGGGCUCAACCCUCGGAUGCCGGUGGAUACUGUCGGGCUAGAGUGCGGGAGAGGCGAGUGGAAUUCCUGGGUGUAGCGGUGAAAUGCGCAGACUAUCAGGAGGAACACCAAUUGCGAAGGCAGCUCGCUGGAACGUUACUGACGCUGAGACGCGAAAGCGUGGGGAGCAAACGGG
rnacentral:rRNA from 1 species